GACUGUGGUGUUGUUUAUCCAUCAUCCAAGAGAACAUGGCUACAGGCAUGAAUAGAGUGCAUUUUCUUAUUGCAAUUUUGUGCAUUGCUAUCGUUUUGACUCCAAGUACUUCAAAUCCUGAUGGGGUCUAUUGCAUUGGCAAAGGAACCUGCCCAAGCGAUGGAGUAUGCGAUGCUACGUGUAGAAAAUAUCGCGUCUAUAGUGGUGGAAAGUGUGUCGACAAUCGGUGUUGUUGUGAAACUUGGAUAAUGUAACUAUAUAUUAUAAGGACACUAUAUUAUAAGGGUUUGUUUGAUGGACACAAUAAAGGAUAUGAUAUGAAUAAGUUAUUAUAUCA